rnacentral:misc_RNA from 1 species
GGGGCCCGCCGGAGACAUCUUCUCGAACGCUGUCUUUGAAAAGGAUUGCUGUCUGAGUAAACAUACCAAAUCGGUUAAAACUUUCAACAACGGAUCUCUUGGUUCCGGCAUCGAUGAAGAACGCAGCGAAAUGCGAUAAGUAAUGUGAAUUGCAGAAUUCAGUGAAUCAUCGAAUCUUUGAACGCACAUUGCGCCCCCUGGUAUUCCGGGGGGCAUGCCUGUCCGAGCGUCAUUACUGCCCCUCAAGCGCGGCUUGUGUGUUGGGCCGCCGUCCCCUGCGCCUCCGGGCAAGGGGGACGGGCCCGAAAGGCAGUGGCGGCGCCGCGUCCGGUCCUCGAGCGUAUGGGGCUUUGUCACCCGCUCAGUAGGUCGGGCCGGGGCCUUUGCCCUCUCCAACCUUUUUUUCCUUAGGUUGACCUCGGAUCAGGUAGGGAUACCCGCUGAACUUAAGCAUAUCAAUAA